rnacentral:lncRNA from 1 species
CUCAUCUGAGUUUACUUCUCGGAAGAUUUUUACAUCCAUCUUUAAAUGAGGGCAUUCUCUUCUAAAAUGCCCUUCCUCUCCACAGUAAUAGCAAGCAGUUAUAGAAUGCUCCUGAGUUUUUCUUUGUACUGAGUUCCUGUUUUUCCCUUUUCCCCCUUUUUUAAAGCCCGAAUUCCUAGGAAUGGAAUCCAGAGACGUCAGAUUCAUUCUUUGCCUUAAGUAGUCUGGACUGAAGAGGAGCCCAGCAACGGCAGUGAACUUUGCCGUUUUUCUGCAUGCAUGCUGCACCCACCCACGGUGCACCGUGCACGGUUUCUUUGCUCAGCUCGAGCUACAAGGACACCCUUUCCAUUUCGAUGAGUCCACACUGCCCAUGCAGCUCUUGCUCAGUGAAGUGCAACAGGGGAGAAGCACUUGCUGGAGAAGUCCCUUGGCAGCCUCCAGCAGCUGCUCUCCUGGAGAACGGCCUGAGAUGUAGAAGCCAGUGCUGGGCUGCACCUUCGCCUUCCGCACGUAAGCACCACCAGACUCACCGGUGCACUCUGUUCUUCCCUCCUCCGCUGCAUGCCACCGUCGUGUUCUCCGAAAGACGGAGACUGAAGGGAAGCGCAAUUGCUUCCACAGAGAGCUGCAAGAGGACUGGGCAUCAGCAGCACGGGAGAGCAGCUAGGAACCGAGCUGUGAGAGCCAACAAUGGGAUGGCACGUCUGUCGGAGAAGUAAGCUUCAGUGCUGCAGACUGCUGUACACAAUUUUAAUGCUGCUCUAACUUCACGGUACUUUUGGAACAUUUUCUGUCCUGACUCUCCCAUCUCUGUGAGCUCUAGCUGCUUGAACUUGGCCACACUGAAGGUGUGUGGACGUGAUUGCGCUGCGAGUAUCAAGUCUUCCAGAGAAGAGGGAUAGUCAUCAAAUGCUUUCUCACCUGGCCCGUCUCUCAGUCCGAACUGUGGCUGGAAACGCUGCGCUGCAAGGGUGGACUUAGCCACUUUGAGAGAAUGUGAUGAUGCUCUAUAUAUAGUUGUGAUGGAAAGUGCUGGUCACUGGAAUGUUUCGCCUAGUUUACAUACUUUAGAGGGACUACGAAGGCCAACGCCUUGUUCUAGCACUUGUUCUCUGCAUGCAGCUGCUGGAUGUUUGGAAGGGCUUUGGGAUCCGCGAGAGGCAGAGGGUAGGAUGGUACAUAGAGCUUGAAGGAAAGUGUGUAUCUCCAGGGCCUUUGAUGCAGUUCAGUGGGUGCGAGUUCCAUGUUGAGCAUGUUCAUGAUGGCACAGAAAAGGUUCUGAAAGAAAGAGGCCGUGCUGGAACUGCCUUGACUUUUGCCGCUUAGAAACUGCACAGCCAACAAUGAAAAGAUUCCUCUUGCUUCCCCACUACGCGCAGGAUCACAUUCUUUCAUGUCUCCAAGAGGCAGGAUGCAUAGCGGAACUCUUCCAUCAACUGCUCCCACACGACUGGCACCGUGCCAGCGAAGCGCUUGGCUUUUUCCCGGCACUGUCAGCGCUCAUCGAAACAACCACAGGAUGGCGCUGAGGACUUGCAAAAGAAGGCCAAGCACCUGGCGCAGCUCGAAACCACCCCAAGGGCAGAGGCAAGUUGCAAA